rnacentral:rRNA from 1 species
UGAAUACGAGAUGCUACGGCGUCGAAGCAGUCUAUGUCAUACUUCCAAGAAAAGCUUGCACUGUCAUAAACAAAUAAUGCCUGUACCAUAACCGACACAGGUGGGUAGGUAGAGUAUACUAAGGGGCGCGAGAUAACUCUCUCUAAGGAACUCGGCAAAAUGACUCCGUAACUUCGGGAGAAGGAGUGCCUUAUUUAUAAGGUUGCAAUAACAAGAUCCAAGCAACUGUUACCAAAAACACAGGUCUCCGCUAAGUCGUAAGACGAUGUAUGGGGGCUGACGCCUGCCCAGUGCCAGAAGGUUAAAGAAGUUGGUUAGCAUCCGCGAAGCUGAUAACUGAAGCCCUGGUGAACGGCGGCCGUAACGAUAACGGUCCUAAGGUAGCGAAAUUCCUUGUCGGGUAAGUUCCGACCCGCACGAAAGGCGUAAUGAUUUGGAUACUGUCUCGGAGAGGGGCUCGGUGAAAUAGACUUGUCUGUGAAGAUGCGGACUACCUGCACCAGGACAGAAAGACCCUAUGAAGCUUUACUGUAACCUGAAAUUGAAAUUGGACUUUACUUGCGCAGUAUAGGUGGGAGGCGUUGAGAAUAUUCUUGCGGGAUUAUUGGAGCCAUCAGUGAGAUACCACUCUUGUAAUGUUAGAUUUCUAACUUUGUAUCAUUAUCUGGUCAAAGAACAGUUUCAGGCGGGCAGUUUGACUGGGGCGGUCGCCUCCUAAACGGUAACGGAGGCGCACAAAGGUUUCCUCUGAACGGGUAGAAAUCGUAUCUAGAGUGUAAAGGCAUAAGGAAGCUUGACUGUGAGACCUACAAGUCGAGCAGGGACGAAAGUCGGUCUUAGUGAUCUGACGGUGCUGAGUGGAAAGGCCGUCACUCAACGGAUAAAAGUUACUCUAGGAUAACAGGCUGAUCUCCCCCAAGAGUUCACAUCGACGGGGAGGUUUGGCACCUCGAUGUCGGCUCAUCGCAUCCUGGGGCGGUAGUACGUCCCAAGGGUUGGGCUGUUCGCCCAUGAAAGCGGUACGCGAGCUGGGUUCAGAACGUCGUGAGACAGUUCGGUCCAUAUCCGGUGUAGGCGUUAGAAUAUUGAGAGGAGCCUUCUUUAGUACGAGAGGACCGAGAAGGACAUACCUCUGGUGUACCAGUUAUCGUGCCAACGGUAAACGCUGGGUAGCUAUGUGUGGAGUGGAUAACCGCUGAAAGCAUCUAAGUGGGAAGCCCACCUCAAGAUAAG